rnacentral:rRNA from 1 species
GACGAACGCUGGCGGCGUGCUUAACACAUGCAAGUCGAACGGUGACCCAGGGCUUGCCCUGGUGAUCAGUGGCGAACGGGUGAGUAACACGUGGGCAACCUGCCCCCUGACUUCGGGAUAACUCCUCGAAGAGGAGCUAAUACCGGAUACGACCACUUCGGACAUCCGAUGGUGGUGGAAAGUUUUUCGGUCAGGGAUGGGCCCGCGGCCUAUCAGCUAGUUGGUGGGGUAAUGGCCUACCAAGGCGACGACGGGUAGCCGGCCUGAGAGGGCGACCGGCCACACUGGGACUGAGACACGGCCCAGACUCCUACGGGAGGCAGCAGUGGGGAAUAUUGCGCAAUGGGCGAAAAGCCUGACGCAGCGACGCCGCGUGAGGGAUGAAGGCCUUCGGUUGUAAACCUACUUUCAGCAGGGACGAAGCGAAAGUAGACGGUACCUACAGAAGAA